CGCGUAGGCGGUUUGGUAAGUCGGAUGUGAAAACCAGAGGCUCAACCUCUGGCCUGCAUCCGAUACUGCCCGACUAGAGGUAGGUAGGGGAGAUCGGAAUUCCUGGUGUAGCGGUGAAAUGCGCAGAUAUCAGGAGGAACACCGGUGGCGAAGGCGGAUCUCUGGGCCUUACCUGACGCUGAGGCGCGAAAGCUAGGGGAGCAAACA
rnacentral:rRNA from 1 species